CACCCCACCCAGGGGGCUAAAAUAGAUUAAAACGGGAGUUUUCGCUACUUCGGUUAUUUGAAAGUGGCAUCUUUGUGCUCCCUCCAUGUACAGCAUAAGCCAGGAGAAAGUGCCCUGCCCAGGCACCUUCAUGUUAGACAUUCCUUUGGAGUAGCAUCUGGCACCACUGAUGAUACAUCAGGUCUCUUGAUAGAGGAUGGAAUUUUCUGCAUAGCAACUCCUUUUUAUUUAAUGACUUGCAUAACAACAAUCAUCCUUGUAGAGACACAUAGAACUGAGGAGCAAUGUACAAUGGAUGAUGUUAAAAUGCAAGAGCAAUGCCCUGCUUACAGAAUCACAGAAUGGUUGAGGUUCGAAGGGACCUGUGGAGAUCAUCUAGUCCAACCCCCCCUGCUCAAGCAGGGUCAUCUAGAGCACGUUGC
rnacentral:lncRNA from 1 species